rnacentral:rRNA from 1 species
CAGCCGCCGCGGUAAUACGGAGGGUGCAAGCGUUAUCCGGAUUUAUUGGGUUUAAAGGGUCCGUAGGCGGACUUAUAAGUCAGUGGUGAAAGCCUGUCGCUUAACGAUAGAACUGCCAUUGAUACUGUAAGUCUUGAGUAUAUUUGAGGUAGCUGGAAUAAGUAGUGUAGCGGUGAAAUGCAUAGAUAUUACUUAGAACACCAAUUGCGAAGGCAGGUUACCAAGAUAUAACUGACGCUGAGGGACGAAAGCGUGGGUAGCGAACAGGAUUAGAUACCCGCGUAGUCCCUGUCUCUUAUAC